rnacentral:rRNA from 1 species
CCUACGGGUGGCUGCAGUGGGGAAUAUUGCACAAUGGGGGAAACCCUGAUGCAGCGACGCCGCGUGAGUGAAGAAGUAUUUCGGUAUGUAAAGCUCUAUCAGCAGGGAAGAAAAUGACGGUACCUGACUAAGAAGCCCCGUCUAACUACGUGCCAGCAGCCGCGGUAAUACGUAGGGGGCAAGCGUUAUCCGGAUUUACUGGGUGUAAAGGGAGCGUAGACGGCCAGACAAGUCAGUAGUGAAAGCCCAGGGCUCAACCCUGGGACUGCAUUUGAAACUGGCGGGAUGGAGUGCAGGAGAGGUAAGCGGAAUUCGUGGUGUAGCGGUGAAAUGCUUAGAUAUUAGGAGGAACACC